rnacentral:rRNA from 1 species
UCCAAGAAAAGCUUCUAAGCUUCAGGUAACCAGGAACCGUACCCCAAACCGACACAGGUGGUCGGGUAGAGAAUACCAAGGCGCUUGAGAGAACUCGGGUGAAGGAACUAGGCAAAAUGGCACCGUAACUUCGGGAGAAGGUGCGCCGGCUAGGGUGAAGGAUUUACUCCGUAAGCUCUGGCUGGUCGAAGAUACCAGGCCGCUGCGACUGUUUAUUAAAAACACAGCACUCUGCAAACACGAAAGUGGACGUAUAGGGUGUGACGCCUGCCCGGUGCCGGAAGGUUAAUUGAUGGGGUUAGCGCAAGCGAAGCUCUUGAUCGAAGCCCCGGUAAACGGCGGCCGUAACUAUAACGGUCCUAAGGUAGCGAAAUUCCUUGUCGGGUAAGUUCCGACCUGCACGAAUGGCGUAACGAUGGCGGCGCUGUCUCCACCCGAGACUCAGUGAAAUUGAAAUCGCUGUGAAGAUGCAGUGUAUCCGCGGCUAGACGGAAAGACCCCGUGAACCUUUACUGUAGCUUUGCACUGGACUUUGAGCCUGCUUGUGUAGGAUAGGUGGGAGGCUUUGAAGCGUGGACGCCAGUUCGCGUGGAGCCAUCCUUGAAAUACCACCCUGGCAUGCUUGAGGUUCUAACUCUGGUCCGUGAUCCGGAUCGAGGACAGUGUAUGGUGGGCAGUUUGACUGGGGCGGUCUCCUCCUAAAGAGUAACGGAGGAGUACGAAGGUGCGCUCAGACCGGUCGGAAAUCGGUCGCAGAGUAUAAAGGCAAAAGCGCGCUUGACUGCGAGACAGACACGUCGAGCAGGUACGAAAGUAGGUCUUAGUGAUCCGGUGGUUCUGUAUGGAAGGGCCAUCGCUCAACGGAUAAAAGGUACUCCGGGGAUAACAGGCUGAUACCGCCCAAGAGUUCAUAUCGACGGCGGUGUUUGGCACCUCGAUGUCGGCUCAUCACAUCCUGGGGCUGAAGCCGGUCCCAAGGGUAUGGCUGUUCGCCAUUUAAAGUGGUACGCGAGCUGGGUUUAGAACGUCGUGAGACAGUUCGGUCCCUAUCUGCCGUGGACGUUUGAGAUUUGAGAGGGGCUGCUCCUAGUACGAGAGGACCGGAGUGGACGAACCUCUGGUGUUCCGGUUGUCACGCCAGUGGCAUUGCCGGGUAGCUAUGUUCGGAAAAGAUAACCGCUGAAAGCAUCUAAGCGGGAAACUUGCCUCAAGAUGAGAUCUCACUGGGAACUUGAUUCCCCUGAAGGGCCGUCGAAGACUACGACGUUGAUAGGCUGGGUGUGUAAGCGUUGUGAGGCGUUGAGCUAACCAGUACUAAUUGCCCGUGAGGCUUGACCAU